rnacentral:rRNA from 1 species
GACGAACGCUGGCGGCGUGCCUAACACAUGCAAGUCGAACGGGGUGAUUCCUUCGGGGAUCACUUAGUGGCGAACGGGUGAGUAACGCGUGAGAAACCUGCCUUUCAGUGGGGGACAACAGCUGGAAACGACUGCUAAUACCACAUAAUGUUAUCGAGCGGCAUCGCUUGAUAACCAAAGCUUUAUGUGCUGAAAGAUGGUCUCGCGUCUGAUUAGCUAGUUGGUGAGGUAACGGCUCACCAAGGCGACGAUCAGUAGCCGGUCUGAGAGGAUGAACGGCCACAUUGGGACUGAGAUACGGCCCAGACUCCUACGGGAGGCAGCAGUGGGGAAUAUUGGGCAAUGGGGGAAACCCUGACCCAGCAACGCCGCGUGAAGGAAGAA